CUGUUCGAUAUCGGCCACUGUCAAUGACGCAGUUUCUAAUGAUUUUUCAAAGCCUUCUUUGACUACGAUAUGCAAUUGAAUGUUUUUUUUUUCAUUUUUUUUUGUUUUCAACAUUCAUUCAUUGGCAGAAACAACAAAUCGGACACAUCAAAUGACGAAGAAGAAUAUGGACACAUUUUUAGUUCUUACACUGGGAAUCGUUUAUAAACCGACCACAAGCGUUGUCAGAACCCGAAAAAUAUGAAUACAAAGGAUCGUUUCGUUUGCCUCAAUUGCGCACCGGUCCGCAUCGUGUUCUUCCCGGCAAAAGAAAUUAAGCCGCGGUCGUUCUAUUAGAAGUGACCAGCGUGACCCAACCCUAUCGUAUUAAGACGGUAGGGAGAACUAUUCUAUAGUACGAACGAUGUUUGUACAAACAGUGCAAUGAAUGUAUUCACUAUUCAAAUCAAUCAAAUAGAAACAAAAUACAGACUAUAUGAGAGCCUGAAACCCAAAACAAAUUAUAAAAAUUCUUUUCGGAAAAAGAGCAUAAGAAUUUAUU